GGUGGUUAUGUGAGAUGCACAGAGGUUGCAUGGUUAGUUUGUGGGUGCCUCCUCCUUUCUUUCUAGCAACCAAGAGUUGGUUAUUAAGGGAUCUCUUCCUCUCUUUUUCUUUGUCCAAGAGUUGGACAUGCCUUGUCUCUCUCCUCUUCUCCACAGAUAUUCAAGAGUUGGAUAAAAAGAAAAGAAAUUUGAUCUAUUGAUUCCUUCUCCUCCAUGAUCAGUCCAAAUGUUGGAUGGGAAGAAAAGAAAAAAAAUUGGAUCUCUUAUUUUUCUUCUUCAGAUCUUCUUCUUUCUCUUAAGA
rnacentral:lncRNA from 1 species